rnacentral:rRNA from 1 species
UCGAGGAUCUUCGGCAAUGGGCGCAAGCCUGACCGAGCGACGCCGCGUGUGCGAUGAAGGCCUUCGGGUUGUAAAGCACUGUCGAGGGGGAGGAAGCCGCAAGGUUGACCUAUCCCUGGAGGAAGCACGGGCUAAGUUCGUGCCAGCAGCCGCGGUAAGACGAACCGUGCGAACGUUGUUCGGAAUCACUGGGCUUAAAGGGCGCGUAGGCGGACUUGAUAGUCCGCGGUGAAAGCCCCCAGCUUAACUGGGGAAGUGCCGUGGAUACUGCAAGUCUGGAGGAGGGUAGGGGCAUCUGGAACGCUGGGUGGAGCGGUGAAAUGCGUUGAUAUCCAGCGGAACUCCGGUGGCGAAGGCGAGGUGCUGGACCCUUUCUGACGCUGAGGCGCGAAAGCCAGGGGAGCAAA